rnacentral:rRNA from 1 species
AUUGAACGCUGGCGGCAGGCCUAACACAUGCAAGUCGAGCGAGCGGCGCACGGGUGAGUAAUGUAUGGGGACUGCCCGCUAGAGGGGGAUAACUACUGUAAACGGUAGCUCAUACCGCAUACUCUCUGAUUACCCAUAUGGGAUUAGCUAGUAGGUGAGGUAAUGGCUCACCUAGGCGACGCUCCCUAGCUGGUCUGAGAGGAUGAUCAGCCACACUGGGACUGAGACACGGCCCAGACUCCUACGGAGGAAGCAGUGGGGAAUAUUGCACAAUGGGCGCAAGCCUGAUGCAGCCAUGCCGCGUGUAUGAAGAAGGCCCUAGGGUUGUAAAGUACUUUCAGUGGGGAGGCGUUACCGACAGAAGAAGCACCGGCUAACUCCGUGCCAGCAGCCGCGGUAAUUC